AUUGAGAGCAAGCAGCUCGGAUGCAUUGUCACUGUCUAGCUUAAUGUUCAUUGUUAGUUAGAGUCUUCGGAGACGUUUAUGAUGUUGAGUAUUGGUUUUAGUAUUCUCAAUUUUGCGGUUAGGAAUACCUAUUUGGAUUGAAGUUAGAAUCGGGGUUGAAUGCGAGAUGCCCGAUUGUAAUUAAAAUAUAAUUUUUGACUGCAGGUUAGGGCUGUAUUAUAGUUAUACUAGUAAAUAACAGCUGCUUUUAUAUUUUAGACAUGCAAGUUACAUUGAGUUCACUUUGGAUUAAACUUUAUUGGAUAGUGUCACCUGGGGAUCUAAAACAUGUGGUUACGUUCGAGAUGUCGAUGUUCCUGAUUUUGUUUCAAGUACCAUCGUAAUAAUUGUUAUGAAAGAAUUAAACCGAUUUCAAAUUGGAUUCAAUUGCGGCAAAACUUUGAGGCACAGAAAGCGAGAUGGGCACUUUAUCGCUUUGAGUCGAGUUGCUUGAAAACUGAAUAUAGUUGACAAUAAAUCGAUUUGGCUGGGACAGGGCAUGGGGCACGUUGACAAUGGUCUCCAUUCACGUAAGCCAGGAAAGUAGAAGAUUAACUCAUUCUUAAAUGUUAUCAAAACAAGAAGAACCGUGUUCGCUCGCGAUGUAAUCAAGUGUGGAUGAAUGAGGUUUUGUGUCGAAAAUAUCGUACGUCUCAAAAACUUACGUAUGUCAUUAUUCUUCUGCAAACAUUUGUAGUCAGAAUCUCCUCUUCCAUCAAUGAAUUGAAACACCGUUAUACAAAUCUACAUUCUACGUUGGUCAGCAUACA